rnacentral:rRNA from 1 species
AGGGCUGCAGUAUAUUGACUGUACAAAGGUAGCAUAAUCAUUAGUCAUUUAAUUGAUGACUUGUAUGAAGGAUUUGAUGAAAUAUAAACUGUCUCUUAUUUAAUUAUAAAAUUUAAUUUUUUUAUUAAAAAGUUAAAAUAUUUUAAAAAGACGAGAAGACCCUAUAGAGUUUAAUAAAUUAUUAGAUUGAGAUUAUAUGUAAAACAAAUUUAAAAUAAAAUUAUUUAUUUUGUUGGGGUGACAAAAAAAUACAUUAAACUUUUUUUAUUUAAAAAACAUUUAUAAGUGAUUAAAUGAUCCAAUAAUAUUGAUUAUAAGAAAAAAUUACCUUAGGGAUAACAGCGUAAUUUUU